CUGAAAAAAAAAAUCAUUGCCUUGCCGUAAAAAAAAAACUCCUUCAUCACUUGCAUCACGCAUAUUGUCGAGUAAGCCACCGUAGAGAACGGGACGAAGAGAGUGAGGGUGAGUUCAUGGAUCUCGUCUGUUUUAUCACUUAUGUGAAGCUUUCACCAUGGUUUUGCCGUAGAAUUGUUGAUCGGUUCGAGCUGCCACACAAUGAAUUGCUCUGAGCUGCUUUCUUAUGAGAAGUUCAUUGAUAAAAACCAGAAAGCUGAAUCGGAAGAAAACAAUAGAAUUCUUGGUGUACUUUUCGAGCCAUCGAUAGCUCACUUGACACAGAAAGUUCUUAAGCUUUUGGCUGUAUCUUCUCCACUCACAUUACUCGGAACUGACCCUGCUUUUGCGUUUUCUCAAAUUCCAUAGUCAUUGGUUACUUCUCUUGGAGACUUCGGAGACGGCAUAACUUAGGCCUUCUUGCUUAUCUUUUUCUCUGAACCUGGAGACAAGACUUUCUUCAGUGCGGUAAGACCUUGAGCUUGAGAUUUUAUUUUAUGCGUUAGAAACUCCAUGUUAUCAGACAGGUUAUUGACUGUCAAAAGGUUUCAUGAGUUUGUUUAGACUCUUUUAGCAGCAAGGAAUAACGCUGCUACUGUUUUCGCUGGGACUUUUGGUACUCUUGGGUAUGUUUUCUCUCUCAAACAGAGGUGUUACGUCAUGUCUGAAACAAAUAGUUGUGGUGAUUUUGCAUGAUAAUGACGAUAACAUGGUGUUAUGGUGUUAAUAUAUUAAAAUUUGACAUGUUGUUAAUAUAUUCAACUAUACAUUAGUGUCCAUGUUCGUAAUAUAUUUCAAAAUAUGUUAAUGGCCAAGUUUGAUUCUUUAUGCAUAUUCAUAGUGAUUAGGCAGAUAAACACGUAAGAAAAAAAAGUAUUGAUCAGACCAAAACUAGUAUUUGUUGUUUCAAAUCACCUAAAUAACUUUAAAAUCUAUAUAAGAUAUCUUAUCAAAUCACCUAAAGAUUUUUAUUUGUAUUUUUAAAUUUCAUCAAAAUCACCUAAAUAACUUCAAAACUCACCUAAA